AGGUUCAAGGCAUGGCCUUGCUCAGCAAGGGGAGGAAAAGCCUGAAGGGCACGAGAAGGGGACAGAGAAGGGCAGGCAGUAGGCGUGAAGCUGUGAGCAGAGUAGAGAGCAACUUGGCAGAGCAGCAAGCAGAGUAGGCAAGUGCUGAGGUUUGGCGUGAGUAGCAGCAAAAGCCCAUAGCAUCAAGAAGCAGGAAGCGAGGAGAAGGAAUGGAGGAAUCUGGCCAGAGCUGUGCCCCUGCUUGCCACAGGAGCUGCGCGGGAGGAGAAGAAUGUGGGCCAAAAGGUGUUCCACUUUGGCUUUGUAUGACACAGUGGACGAGAGGGUACGGCGUUCAGUGGAACAAACACUGCAGACCCUGGGGAGAAUCAAAGCAGGAGAGAGGAAAUGUGCCCUUUGCAGCAGGGGCCCUUGUGCUGGCAUUACCCAUCGCAUCCACUGCUGCUGUGGUCCUUUCUUUCCUUUGGGCAGUUUGCUGUCUCUCAAGGUGUUGUCUACAAUAGGUGCUUGUUUGUGUAUCCGUGUGAGGC
rnacentral:lncRNA from 1 species